CCAUAAUAUCACUAUAAAUCCACCUGAUCUCAUCCGAUUUUGGAAGGUAAGCAGGGUAAGGCAUGGCUAGUCCUUGGAUGAGAGGCUUCCAGGGGGAGGGCUAGGGAGGAUCUCCAGGGAAAGCUAGGAGGA
rnacentral:rRNA from 11 species